CACGUAGGCGGAUUGAAAAGUCAGAGGUGAAAUCCCAGAGCUCAACUUUGGAACUGCCUUUGAAACUCUCAGUCUUGAGGUCGAGAGAGGUGAGUGGAAUUCCGAGUGUAGAGGUGAAAUUCGUAGAUAUUCGGAGGAACACCAGUGGCGAAGGCGGCUCACUGGCUCGAUACUGACGCUGAGGUGCGAAAGCGUGGGGAGCAAACA
rnacentral:rRNA from 1 species